UACAGAGGGUGCGAGCGUUAAUCGGAAUUACUGGGCGUAAAGCGCGCGUAGGCGGCUUUGCAAGUCGGGUGUGAAAUCCCCAGGCUUAACCUGGGAACUGCAUUCGAGACUGCAUUGCUAGAGUAUGGGAGAGGGAAGUGGAAUUUCCGGUGUAGCGGUGAAAUGCGUAGAUAUCGGAAGGAACAUCAGUGGCGAAAGCGACUUCCUGGACCAAUACUGACGGCUCAUGAUGCGGAAAAGCGUGGGGAGCAAACAGG
rnacentral:rRNA from 1 species